rnacentral:ncRNA from 1 species
UCCUGAAAAGGCAAACCCCGGGUAACCGGGGGACGCAAAGCCAAGGGCCCCACCGGGGACGCCUGGCUGCCGAAA